rnacentral:misc_RNA from 1 species
GAUGAAGAACGUAGCGAAAUGCGAUAAGUAGUGUGAAUUGCAGAAUUCAGUGAAUCAUCGAAUCUUUGAACGCACAUUGCGCCCUUUGGUAUUCCUUAGGGCAUGCCUGUUCGAGCGUCAUUUACAACUUCAAGCCCCGCUUGGUGUUGGGUGUCUGUCCCGCCGUUUUCGCGCGCGGACUCGCCUCAAAGUCAUUGGCGGCGGUCGUGCCGGCCCCCUCGCGCAGCACAUUUGCGCUUCUCGGAGGCCCGGCGGAUCCGCGCUCCAGCAAGACCUUUCACGACUUGACCUCGGAUCAGGUAGGGAUACCCGCUGAACUUAAGCAUAUCAAUAAGCGGAGGA